GCAAAUAUCACACUCCAGAUAUUCAUGAAUAGGCGUAAGAUGGUAUGUUAACCCAUAUUGAUUUAGGAUAAAGUAUUUAAACUAAAAUAAAAUUUGGGCAAACCUUUUCUCUUUGAGCUAGUUUUUAGGGUGGACUUAAAAACUGAUGCAUUUUCUCUAGAGUGUUGGAAAGCCGAAAUUAAAUCCCUGCAUUAUAGGGAUUAUUUUUUUUUUUUCCCUCUUUU
rnacentral:misc_RNA from 1 species